GGGCCCGCACAAGCGGUGGAGUAUGUGGUUUAAUUCGAUGCAACGCGAAGAACCUUACCUGGUCUUGACAUACUUGGAAUCUUUUGUAAUGAAAGAGUGCCUUUUGGAGCCAAGAUACAGGUGCUGCAUGGCUGUCGUCAGCUCGUGUCGUGAGAUGUUGGGUUAAGUCCCAUAACGAGCGCAACCCUUACCCUUAUUUGCCAGCGAUUCGGUCGGGAACUAUAAGGGGACUGCCGGUGAUAAACCGGAGGAAGGUGAGGACGACGUCAAGUCAUCAUGGCCCUUACGUGUAGGGCUACACACGUGCUACAAUGGGGAGUACAGAUAGACGCUAAAGCGCGAGCUGGUGCUAAUCUCAUAAAACUCUUCGUAGUCCGGAUUGCAGUCUGCAACUCGACUGCAUGAAGUCGGAAUCGCUAGUAAUCG
rnacentral:rRNA from 1 species